GUGAUAUCAGAGAACGUCAACACCAAAUACCUGAGAGAGCAGCCACUGUUAUUGCUAAUUAACAGAAAAAUGUUAAUGAAAUACCUCAGAGUUAUGUACGCCUGUCAAUAUUACAUGUUUCUUUAUACCAUACAUCAGCUCUAGCUUGAAUGCCCUCUAACAUAUCAACACCAUACAAUACAUUAAUCACAAGCGUGAUCACGAAUAUCGUCAUUGCAGUCUACACUCUCGUCGUUAUUACGCUCUUUCAUUUAUAACCGCAUAUUAUCACUAACUGGCUUCCUUUCUAUUCGUAUCGUACUUGCUUGCCAGCUUCGGUUAGGACGCACAUGUUUACCUGUCAAAAUUUGUUACAAAAUGGGAUCAACAACAUAAGACAGCAACGGAAUAACAAGCAGAUCGGCUGCUCUAAAUACGCACACAUUGACAACAACAAUGUAUAUGUGGGUUUUUUCUUGCGAGUGAUACAUUUAGAUUCAUUCGUUGCGUAGACAGUCUACUGGAAAGAUGUGAAGUUAAGGUCGCGCGCGUUAAGACGAUGCUAAGUUUAAACUUGUGAUCAGCUGUUCGUUGUAUGCACCGGAGGCCAUGAUGGCCGCCUUCGUUAGCUGGAGAGUCAUUCAAUGAACAAUCAGGUUUUUCUUUGCUAUUUCGUUUUGGCGGUUAUUAAUCAUUGGAAGAGUGCGGCGUGUUUUUUUUUUAAUGUGUGACAGACACACUUUCAUGGACACACAUACAGUUAUCUAAAGAAAAUAAUGAAAAACAAUAGGUGGUGGUUGUCUCUAAUGUACAAUAUAAAAUGUAUACGCUGUCUUGAAUAGUACGUAUGUAUCCAAACAAGAAAUAUGUAUGAGGUAGAUAUGUCAAAGUGAAAUCUCCAAAUCUUUCUCCAUAUAAAGUGCUUGCAGUUUAGCUAUUUAGUUUUAUAAAUAAAUAUACAUAUAUUUCGACAAGUUUAAAAAUGCAACGUUUACAGCUUCAUAAACAUGUAGUUAAAAUUAUUGGUGUUGAAUGUUUCAAGAUAUCAAAUUUAGAAAAACAAAACUUUGCAAGUUAUUGUUGAAAUCACUAAAAUUUUAAUUUUAAUCCCAUAUAAACUGAAUUAUACUCUGUAUCUAUGGCACAAUAAAUAAUUAAAAUAAUUUAAAUUCCUUUUCAGUGGUUUAGUUAUAACAUAGUAUACAAGCGUUUACUUUUAUUUAUUUGUAUUCCUUUUAUACUUUUAAAUACAAAAGCUAAGUUGCAUAA